CAGUCGCCACGGUAAUACAGAGGAUGCAAGCGUUAUCCGGAAUGAUUGGGUGUAAAGCGUCUGUAGGUGGCUUUUCAAGUCCGCCGUCAAAUCCCAGGGCUCAACCCUGGACAGGCGGUGGAAACUACCAAGCUGGAGUACGGUAGGGGCAGAGGGAAUUUCCUGUGGAGCGGUGAAAUGCGUUGAGAUUGGAAAGAACACCAACGGCAAAAGCACUCUGUUGGGCCGACACUGACACUGAGAGACGAAAGCUAAGGGAGAAAAUGGGAUUAGAUACCCCGUAGUCCCUGUCUCUUAUACC
rnacentral:rRNA from 1 species